GACGAACGCUGGCGGCGUACUUAACACAUGCAAGUCGAACGGAAAGGCUCCAGCUUGCUGGAGUACUCGAGUGGCGAACGGGUGAGUAACACGUGGGUAAUCUGCCCUGCACUCUGGGAUAAGCCUGGGAAACUGGGUCUAAUACUGGAUAUGACCUUUCUCCUUAUGGGGUUUGGUGGAAAGUUUUUCGGUGUAGGAUGAGCCCGCGGCCUAUCAGCUUGUUGGUGGGGUGAUGGCCUACCAAGGCGACGACGGGUAGCCGGCCUGAGAGGGUGAUCGGCCACAUUGGGACUGAGAUACGGCCCAGACUCCUACGGGAGGCAGCAGUGGGGAAUAUUGCACAAUGGGCGGAAGCCUGAUGCAGCGACGCCGCGUGAGGGAUGACGGCCUUCGGGUUGUAAACCUCUUUCAGCAGGGACGAAGCGUAAGUGACGGUACCUGCAGAAGAAGCACCGGCUAACUAUGUG
rnacentral:rRNA from 1 species